GGCGUCAUGGUCUAGAGGUAUGAUUCUUGCUUUGGGAUUACUGAAUAAGUGCUCAAACCUGCAAGAGGUCCCGGGUUCAAUCCCCGGUGACGCCC